UCACCCGCACCAAGCCAUAGCCCCCUCGCUGGCCUCUCCCGCAGCCUCGCGCCCGCCGCCGCCGCAUCCUCGCCUCCUCCAGCCACCGCCGCCGCCAUCGUCGCCUCUUCCGCGAUGGACGUAAGCCGCCGCCGCCACAGGCCACUUCUUCUCUCCCUCUUCUCCCCACUCGAUGCAGGUUCUUGCACAGGGGCCGCCAGAUCCGGUAGAAGAUGGUGGUCGGAGCAGUGGGGUGUGGGGAUGGCGGAGGUCGGGGAGAAGAACGAAGGAGAAGGAGCACGGCGCCACAAUCAUGGCUGGGUUUUUUUAUUUGCGCCCUCCUCGCUCGCUCAAUUUGAAUCUCCUCUCCGUUCUCUUCUCAGGAAUGGUCAGUUCGUCAUUGUUUAUUUUCUUGAUGUUCCUGUUUCCUAACACUAUGAAGGGAUGAGUGACAAUUUUAACUUUCAAGGAUCAAUUAUGCAACUAGAAAUAUUGUGAUCGGAAGGAGUUCCAGGCCAGGGCACUGUGAUUUGCUUCUAAACAGACAUUAUGGCUUUCAAGCAUCAAAACAAAGGCUCAUUCAUUCUCUAUGCAUGAAAAUGAUUGGUCCGUAUUUUCAACCAUACUAAGAUGCUCUCAGUGACCUUAAGAGGUUCAAAUGGCAACAGUGAACAAGCUGAAAUUACAGAAAUGCCGGCUUCCCAAUUCUUAGUGAAGAUGUAACAAGCCUUUUAACUUCUUCAGUUAAUCAGGACCAAGUGCAGCUUUGGUAGUUUCUUUGGAUUGGCCAUCAAGAAUCACAUGCACAUUCGCGUAUGCAUGUGGAGUUCCAAAACCAAUGUUGCAUGAUUACGUACCGAUCUCUGUAAAUCAAAAUGAUGGCAUACCGAGUUUGGUGUUAUGUAUACAUUGUCGUGCAUGAUCGUAUACAGAUUUUUGCCGUAUCAAAGAGAUAUUUUUUUCUUGCA